AACCCUUGUGGGCGCACUUUCCCAAAAAGCAAGCAGCGGCAGCGCCAGCAACAAUCGUGCCACAUGAGCCGAGCGAACAACGUGGCUGCCGCCGCUUGGCCCCCGGCGCACGCUGCUCGUUAUUGUUUUGUGAUUGAUGAAGGCGACGCCAGUGGGCAGCCAAAGCUCGCAAAUAACAACCAACUGCCAACAGCGAGCGCUUCAUUCAUGGCCAAGAAGAAACAAGUGAAGUGAAGUGUGCUGUGUCGGUGAAGUGCAAGUGAAAGUGAAGUUUUGGCGGCGUUUCGUCGUGUACUUCAUUGGCAGCCACAAAAUAAUUUCCCACUAACAUCAUUUUCAACAACGAAAGAGGAAAAAAAAAAAACAAGAGUGUGCCCGACUAACAGAUACCCCGUGCUGUCAUCGCAAUCAAAGUAAUCGAAGUACAUUGUAUGCCACAAGUCAACAGCUAUAAUUCUCAAAAGUCUAUCAUCUAAUCGGGCAUGAUAUCCAAAAAGUUAAUCUGUACGAGAUAUUGUCGAUAGACCUAGUCUUCAAAUCGAUAUUUUUCGAUUUCUUAAAAUCGAUGAUUCACAAUAACUUCUAAACUUAAAAAUCCUCUUAGUCUCCGAUCGAAGCGAAUCGAACCGACUCUUGAUACAGAGAGCAAGAAUAUAUAUGUUCCCUUAUGUUCGAAGAUGCCUGUUACAUACAUGUAUAGAGAUCCAUCAUAGUCUGCUUAACCCAUUUUCAAUGGGUACAAGGUGUACAAAAACAGAUGAAAAAAACUUUGCCCAUUUCCAUUUGUUGUUGCUGCUGUUGACUGAUGUGAUUCGCCGCUGUGGCUGCUGCUGCUGCUGCUGCGGAUCGUCAUUGUUGCUGCUCAUCUUCAUGUUCAUCUUCAUCUUCAUCAUCGGCGCCCGUGUGUUUGUUACACAUUUAAUUAAAUGCCUGGCCAAGUGAGAGUGAAUCGGAUCGUCUCGCAACUUUGUGUUGAUCUUUGUUCACCUUGGGUUAGAGAUGGGCAUGUGUUGAACCCUAUGAAACCCGAUUUCGUAAGGCUAUUAUUAUUAUUAUUUUUUUGUCACGACACUUUUUAAAUAACGCGUUUAAAUAGCCAACUCUGAACCCAUUAAGUUAACUCAGAUGAGUAUAUAUGGGGAGACAGUGCAUAUAGACAAGGCAAAAAGCUUAGACCCCGCCUUGGUAUUGUUGUUAUUUACUUCGAUAAAAUUCGCUAAUUUUAUAUUAAAAUAGGCUCUUAGCCUUUAAAUCUACGUUAGAUUGAACUACUAAUAUGAUGGGGCGCCAAUAGAAACGAACGAUUGCAAACUGAGUUAUUUUGUAAAAAUCAGAAAAAUAGAAUAUAUAGAAGGUACAUCUAACAAAUGAAUAUAAAAUUCAUAAAGAUCUUCGAGUCUAACUAUUGAUUGUUUAUUAAUUGAUGAAAUUUAUUUAUUGACAAACACAAUUGAUGUCGUGCAACGAAGCGAAAGCACGCUUCGUGGCCUUCGCUAGCUUCAUGGGACGAGGGAGGGGGCACUGGAGGCACGCUUCAUUAACCGCUUGUCUCAGCCAUUGUCUCAGCGCGCCCAGCGCCCAGCGUUCACUUUCUAAUCAUCAAGUCAGCUUUGCCGUCGUCGUCAGCGUCGCCAUGUGGCUGCCAAGUUGCCAACUCUGGCAGCCAUGACCGAAUGCAAUCAGCGACGGCCACGCAAGUUGAAGGUACUACCAAACCGCAUAUGGCAAGGGAGGAGAGGGUGAACUGAAUGAAUAGGUAGAGAGAGAUAGAGAGGCCGAAAGAGAGAGAGAGAGAGAGAGAGAGAGAGAGGGGGCAGCACUCGCAAUCGUUGUUGGCUUUUGGGUUUCGUGUAGAAGGUCUUUCAGACAGGCGUAUAGGGCUGGCAUAUGCACAGGUAACUAACUGGGCUCAGACGCAUAAGGUCAAGUCAACAAACAAACAGCUUAACAACUCAGGCAGUCAGUUAACGUAAUCGUAAUCGCAUAGUUAGUAACUACAUUCGCGAUGUUUACUAAUGAAAUAUACAAAACGAUUCAUAUGCGUGUGAGCUAACCUGCGCGGGUAGUUUAAGCGGUUCUCGACAAAAAGCUGAUCAAAUGAAAGUAAACGAAUAUUUGAUGAAAUAAUGCGAUUAGAUAAGACUGGUUCAAUAUUCAUUGGAAUAGACUUGUGCACAAAGAAAAGCGGAAAUAUAGCUAUAAAAUCUUUAUGCUUUUUUUAUAUGUAAACACAGAUUAGAUAACUAAAAGACGCUUUUAUCUAUUAGAUAAACACAAAUAUAUGUUUUUGCUCAAUGAUCUCGAAUGCGGCUACUUCUAGUUGCCAAAUAUGUAUAGUAUUUCGGGAGAGUUUCUAUCUUUAAGCAACUGGGGCUAACCGAUCUUUGGGAACGAAAGUAGUUUUUUCUGGAACUGCCCUCGCUCAUAUGAAGUUAUUGUUGUUUUUGUUUGCUUGUCAUCAGCGCUGGUUGUUGUUGUUGAUUGUUUCAUAACAGCUGAGACAAAGUCAGGCAAAAGGUAAAUGGGUUUGGUGUACCUUGUGCCUAAUGCGUUAAUAUCAUCAUCAAGCUGGCUGGCUCAUAGAAACUUACAUAUGUAGACAGAUAGUCGUGUUGUGAGUUAUGCUUAUGCUAUCUACAUGUGUGUGUGUGUGGCACAGUGGGCACAAGUUUUGGUUUUUAUGACAUUAGUUUUAACGAUGCCAGUGACAGCAAUGUCCGACAACAACAACAACAACAAUAAGCAAGUUUCAAUGAAAAGUCGAAACAGGCCGCAGGUCCGGAUAUAAAUGGUUUGUUGUUCACACACUCACAAACACACAUACAAGUACAGCCAUAUGCAGAAGCACACUCAUCAUUACGCUUAACGCUUGGCUCAGUCUCAGACCCAGUCAGCCAUUACGAAGCCCAUUUUGUUAGUAGCCCGCCGCAUACGACUAACUACCAAAAGUGCCUCCUCACAGUUUGCGUUUACAGCGGCCGUAAUGUGCUCGUACUCGCACUCAGACGUACAGCGCAUGCAGCGAAAGAGAGAGAGAGAGAGGGAGAGUGAGCGAAAGAGCGGUUGCAGCGCCCCCGCUGAAUGCCGCCCUCGCCCGCCCUUCAAAGCCCAGACGUCAGGUCGUGAGUCACCUGAGCGUAACGUAAGCGCAGCUUAUUGUUCGCGCUCAUGUGGCUCGCGUCGGCUACUUGUGCUCGUUAUGAUUUUAACGCUCUUACGCUCGUACGUUUUCGCUCUUGCGGCUCUCCCAAUGCAGUUGCGGUGUGUGAGUUGUGUGAGCAGCUGUUUUGGGCUGCCACACAAAUUCGCUGCUAUUGUGAUCGCCUUUUUGACAGUGACUCUGCGAGUGUGAGUGUGUUUCAGUGUAUGCGUGUGUGUCGUUUGCAUACAAAUUUACACUUUUUCGUAGUAGUUUUUCGGGCUUGUUACUCUCUGUUUUCUCAAUUACUCAAUUUGACAAUGGAAAUGAAAAAUUAGCAACAAAUUUGUGCAUUUCAGAUGUUCAGAUGAAUAUCCGUUAAAAGCACUUAAAUGCAAUGACUCUUAGUCCCACUGUGCUUCCAGCCAGUCAGAGCACAUAUAUAUGUACAUACGUCAACGCUGCAGGUGUUUGUUUAUUUGUGUUUUAGCCAUGCUGCAAGUGUUUCGCUUGCGAACUGACAAUUGUUUUCGGUAGAUCAAAUUGAAAAGAACAGCUUAACACAGAGCCUGAACAACAGCCACAACAAUAACUGGCACACAAACUUGCCUAUUGGCAAUAUACACACAUAGCUAUAUACCCACAUGCUCACAAACACAUACAGACUGUCAUACAGAGUCAUUCACUCUCUCUCGCACACACUGAUAGUCGUGGAAACGGGCCGUCGAUUUACGGCUUGGAAGCUCGCCCGCCACUGUCGGCCAAUUUAGUCUCUCUCAAAGUUUCGUCGAAGCAGGCAGCAAAGGCACAGAGAAAACGUGCGCGCGCUUUUCUGUUCAAAACGUCGACGUCGCAGUCGCUGCCCGAUCGUGCGUUUUGUUGUUAAUAUAAAAACUUGAAGCAAAGGUAAAAUAAAAACGUUAUCUAAACGCUCGACGAGAACGGAAUGUAGCCAGCGCAGCGGCAGAGGGAAGAAACGAAAAAUUCCAAAACUAAACCAAAGAUUAAAUGGCAAAGAAAUCAAAGUACAUGCAAAAAAAAAAA